rnacentral:rRNA from 1 species
AAGCGCUUGCAACCAGACUUGUUGGCGGUGUUCCGCCGGUCUUCUGACCGGUGUACUCACCGUCUGCAGGCCAGCAUCAUCUGGGGCCGCCGGAUAAAAGCGGGGGGAAUGUGGCUCCCUCGGGAGUGUUAUAGCCCCUCGUGCAAUACGGCGUGCCUCGGGUGAGGUCCGCGCUUCGGCUAGGAUGCUGGCGUAAUGGUCGUAAGCGG